GACGAACGCUGGCGGCGUGCCUAAUACAUGCAAGUAGGACGCAGUUGCGAACGGGUGAGUAACGCGUAGGUAACUACCUAUUAGAGGGGGAUAACUAUUGGAAACGAUAGCUAAUACCGCAUACUAGUAGAUGGACCUGCGUUGUAUUAGCUAGGAGGAAGGGUAAUGGCCUACCUAGGCAACGAUACAUAGGCGAGCCGGAAGGGUGGACGGCCAAACUGGGAAGUGGACACCGGCCAGACCCCUAGGGGAGGCAGCGUAGGGAAAUUUCGGCAAUGGGGGGAAACCUGGACGAGGAACGCCCGGUGGUUGAAGAAGGGUUUCGGGUUGUAAAGCUCUGUUGUUAAGGAAGCGGUACUUAACCAGAAAGGGACGGCUAACUACGUGCCAGCAGCCGCGGUAAUUC
rnacentral:rRNA from 1 species